AGUGAACGCUGGCGGUAGGCCUAACACAUGCAAGUCGAACGGCAGCACAGUAAGAGCUUGCUCUUACGGGUGGCGAGUGGCGGACGGGUGAGGAAUACAUCGGAAUCUACUUUUUCGUGGGGGAUAACGUAGGGAAACUUACGCUAAUACCGCAUACGACCUACGGGUGAAAGCAGGGGAUCUUCGGACCUUGCGGGAUUGAAUGAGCCGAUGUCGGAUUAGCUAGUUGGCGGGGUAAAGGCCCACCAAGGCAACGAUCCGUAGCUGGUCUGAGAGGAUGAUCAGCCACACUGGAACUGAGACACGGUCCAGACUCCUACGGGAGGCAGCAGUGGGGAAUAUUGGACAAUGGGCGCAAGCCUGAUCCAGCCAUACCGCGUGGGUGAAGAAGGCCUUCGGGUUGUAAAGCCCUUUUGUUGGGAAAGAAAAGCAGCAGGUUAAUACCCCGCUGUUCUGACGGUACCCAAAGAAUAAGCACCGGCUAACUUCGUG
rnacentral:rRNA from 1 species